rnacentral:rRNA from 1 species
CCUACGGGAGGCAGCAGUGAGGAAUAUUGGUCAAUGGGCGAGAGCCUGAACCAGCCAAGUCGCGUGAGGGAGUACUGCCCUAUGGGUUGUAAACCUCUUUUGUCGGGGAGCAAAAGCCGGACGUGUCCGGCUGUGAGAGUACCCGAAGAAAAAGCAUCGGCUAACUCUGUGCCAGCAGCCGCGGUAAUACUGAGGAUGCGAGCGUUAUCCGGAUUUAUUGGGUUUAAAGGGUGCGCAGGCGGAUUGUUAAGUCAGCGGGCAAAUCGUGGGGCUCAAACCCAUCCAGCCGUUGAAACUGGGGAACUAGAGUGUGAGAGAGGGAAGGGGAAUUCGAGGUGAAGCGGUGAAAUGCGUAGAUA